GUGGCGCACGGGUGAGUAACACGUGGGCAAUCUGCCCGGAAGAUCGGGAUAACACCCCGAAAGGGGUGCUAAUACCGAAUACCUACAUUAAUGCGCAUGCAAAGAUGUAGAAAGGAUUUAUCGCUUCCGGAUGAGCCCGCGGCCCAUUAGCUAGUUGGUGAGGUAACUGCUCACCAAGGCAACGAUGGGUAGCUGGUCUGAGAGGACGAUCAGCCACACUGGAACUGAGACACGGUCCAGACUCCUACGGGAGGCAGCAGUGGGGAAUCUUGCGCAAUGGGCGAAAGCCUGACGCAGCAACGCCGCGUGAACGAUGAAGGCCUUCGGGUCGUAAAGUUCUGUCAGGGGGGACGAAUAAUGACGGUACCCCCAGAGGAAGCCCCGGCUAACUACGUGCCAGCAGCCGCGGUAAUACGUAGGUGGCGAGCGUUGUCCGGAAUUAUUGGGCGUAAAGGGAGCGCAGGCGGACAUAUAAGUCCAUCUUAAAAGUGCGGGGCUCAACCCCGUGAGGGGAUGGAAACUGUAUGCCUUGAGUGCAGGAGAGGAAAGCGGAAUUCCCA
rnacentral:rRNA from 1 species